rnacentral:rRNA from 1 species
AUACGGAGGGUGCGAGCGUUAUUCGGAAUUAUUGGGCGUAAAGGGUGUGUAGGCGGUUUGUUAAGUUUGUUGUUAAAUUCUUCAGCCUAACUGAAGAUCAGCAGCGAAAACUGACAGACUAGAGGAUGAAGAGAGAAGUGGAAUUCUCGGAGUAGCGGUAAUAUGCGUAGAUCUCGAGAGGAACACCGAUGGCGAAGGCAGCUUCUUGGGCCAUUCCUGACGCUGAGACACGAAAGCGUGGGGAGCAAACAGGAUUAGAAACCCCAGUAGUCC